UACGUAGGGGGCAAGCGUUGUCCGGAUUUACUGGGCGUAAAGCGCCUGUAGGCGGAGGGUCAAGUCCGGCUUUAAAGACCCCGGCUCAACCGGGGAAGUGGGCUGGAAACUGGCUUUCUUGAGGGUGGCAGAGGAGUGUGGAAUUCCUGGUGUAGCGGUGAAAUGCGUAGAUAUCAGGAGGAACACCGGUGGCGAAGGCGGCUCUCUGGUCCACAACUGACGCUGAGGUACGAAAGCUAGGGGAGCAAACGGG
rnacentral:rRNA from 1 species